rnacentral:rRNA from 1 species
GAUGAACGCUAGCGGAAGGCAUAAUACAUGCAAGUCGAACGGAUGUAGCAAUACAUUAGUGGCGCACGGGUGCGUAACGCGUAUGCAACCUACCUUCAUCAGGGGGAUAACUACCCGAAAGGGUGGCUAACACCGCAUAAUACUACAGAAUGGCAUCAUUUGGUAUUUAAAUCUGAGGAGGAUGAAGAUGGGCAUGCGUCUGAUUAGCUAGUUGGUGUGGUAACGGCGCACCAAGGCGACGAUCAGUAGGGGAACUGAGAGGUUGGUCCCCCACACUGGCACUGAGAUACGGGCCAGACUCCUACGGGAGGCAGCAGUAGGGAAUAUUGGUCAAUGGUGGGAACACUGAACCAGCCAUUCCGCGUGCAGGAAGAAGGGUCUCUGACUUGUAAACUGCUUUAGCAAGGGAAGAAAAAGCUCAUGCGUGAGAAAUUGACGGUACCUUGAGAAUAAGCACCGGCUAACUACGUGCCAGCCGCCGCAGUAAGAC